GACGAGCGCUGGCGGCGUGCCUAAUACAUGCAAGUAGAACGCUGAAGAGAGGAGCUUGCUCUUCUUGGAUGAGUUGCGAACGGGUGAGUAACGCGUAGGUAACCUGCCUGGUAGCGGGGGAUAACUAUUGGAAACGAUAGCUAAUACCGCAUAAAAUUGAUUAUUGCAUGAUAAUUAAUUGAAAGAUGCAACUGCAUCACUACCAGAUGGACCUGCGUUGUAUUAGCUAGUUGGUGAGGUAACGGCUCACCAAGGCGACGAUACAUAGCCGACCUGAGAGGGUGAUCGGCCACACUGGGACUGAGACACGGCCCAGACUCCUACGGGAGGCAGCAGUAGGGAAUCUUCGGCAAUGGGGGGAACCCUGACCGAGCAACGCCGCGUGAGUGAAGAAGGUUUUCGGAUCGUAAAGCUCUGUUGUAAGAGAAGAACGGGUGUGAGAGUGGAAAGUUCACACUGUGACGGUAGCUUACCAGAAAGGGACGGCUAACUACGUG
rnacentral:rRNA from 1 species